UCUAUUGUUUUGUCUACCUCCGUAAAUAGCUCUGCUUCUGUUGGUCUCCAGCAAUGCUGUCCAAUCUCAACCAGUUAGUUAUGCAGAAAAUGUUGUAAAACUCAUGUGCCAGCAUUAUCUUUAUUUUUGCCUCAAAAACAGAGCCUAUUGACAAUAAGAGUAAAAUGUUUCAGUUCAGAGGCAAGAAUUAUACAAGUGAACAUUUUGAAGUAAUGACAAUGAGUGACUAUAACAAAAUUUAGAGACUUAUAAAGGAAACUACGUGAUGCCCAGGUGCUGAAACACCAUUCAUAGUGGAGAAAUCAAAGUCACGCCA
rnacentral:lncRNA from 1 species